AAAAAACCUUGUUAUAUUUUUCUUGAUCUCGUUGCUGAAGUUCUCUUGAUAUUUUUCUGUGCUACUUAUUUCCUAUUUUGUUAGAAUUUGUAGUUUACAAGUUCAUUGAAUCGAGCCGCACUUCCCCGUUUUUUGCGUCAACAUUCUACUGUAAAAAUUUCCAGAAUCAUUAUGUGUUUUGGAAAGAGCUGAUAUGAUAAUAAGUUUGUCUAUAAUGUGCGUUGAUAAAUUGUAAUGUGUUAGAUGCUGAUCGACUUUGUCAUACUAACUCAUACUCGUACUAAGAGAUGCGAGCAACAAUAACAAGUCUCCUGAAGAAUGUUCCAGUCAAAGAGUUGGAAACAAUUGUGACUGUAUAAGUUGUGGAAUAUCUUUGAACAGGCACUCAAGAAGACAAAAUCACAGGCCAUAAGCUUAUGGAAAAAAGUGAUAAGUGGUAUUAUACAGAAAAACAAAUAUCUCCAAGACAGAUGCCUGAUGGAUGCUUGAAUUAAAGAUGGAUGGUUGUUUGUGAGGAGGAGCUCGGUGGCGCAGCGGUUAACGCGCUCGGUCUGCGAUUGUUGAAGUUAAGCAACUUUCGCAAAGGCCGGUCAUAGGAUGGGUGACCACAAAAAAAAAGUUUUCAUCUCGAACUCCUCCGUGCUUCGGAAGGCACGUUAAGCCGUUGGUCCCGGCUGCAUUAGCAGUCGUUAAUAACCACCAAUCCGCACUGGGCCCGCGUGGUGGUUUAAGGCCCGAUCUCCCUAUCCAUCCAUAGGGAAGGCCCGUGCCCCAGCAGUGGGGACGUUAAUGGGCUGGUGAUGAUGAUGAUGGUUGUUUGCAGGAUGAGCUCACAUCGAAAGCAUUAAUAUUUAGUGAACAGUAAAGCUGUGUUAAGUGUGCCAUUGCAUUGUAUGUAGUUAGUAGCUAUUUAUGUUCAUAGAUGUUGUUAAACUACCUAUGAGCUUAAAUCACUUUAUAUUAUCAUAUCAUAACAUAACAUAACAAAUACUUUUUUGCACAAACAGGAAAAAACAAAAGAGAAAUAGAAUUAGUACAAUAGGCGGCCUUAUCAUUAAAUAGAUAAAAAAAAAUACUAUGUAUUUUUAAUGUUAUUUUUAAGUUUUUAUAUACCUACUUACUAAUAAUGUAACCAUACAUCUCAUCAUCUCCUAUUACAUAGCUUGUGAGGUGGAUGGCGAACCUCACCAACCCUGUUAUAGGAUUAUUACUGAGCCACCCUGUUGUUACAUAAACCAAGUCCCCUGACAUGGUUUAUGUAACAACUAUGUAUUUAUAUUAGUAAGUAGUAACUGGGACCAACAGCUUCACAUGCCAUCCAAAGGAUCGCAAAGUAAUUUUUGUGAUAUGUCAACACCGGGUUCGAACUUUGGAUUGUGAGCCUGUCAGUCAACCACUCUGAAUCGCAGAGAAGGGGAGGAAAGUAGUUGGUUAAGUUGAUGUUUUAUUAAACUAUUUGAUUAAUUGUAGAAAUAUUUUGUAUGAGUUGCACCUAUGACAUAUUUUAAAUAUAAUAAUAAAACAAAUUA